GCUCAGGAUGAACGCUGGCGGCGUGCUUAACACAUGCAAGUCGAACGAAGCACUUUUACAGAUUUCUUCGGAAUGAAGUUUUAGUGACUGAGUGGCGGACGGGUGAGUAACGCGUGGGUAACCUGCCUCACACAGGGGGAUAACAGUUGGAAACGGCUGCUAAUACCGCAUAAGCGCACAGUACCGCAUGGUACGGUGUGAAAAACUCCGGUGGUGUGAGAUGGACCCGCGUCUGAUUAGCUAGUUGGCAGGGCAACGGCCUACCAAGGCGACGAUCAGUAGCCGACCUGAGAGGGUGACCGGCCACAUUGGGACUGGGACACGGCCCAAACUCCUACGGGAGGCAGCAGUA
rnacentral:rRNA from 1 species